UGGGGAAUAUUGCACAAUGGGCGCAAGCCUGAUGCAGCCAUGCCGCGUGUAUGAAGAAGGCCUUCGGGUUGUAAAGUACUUUCAGCGGGGAGGAAGGGAGUAAAGUUAAUACCUUUGCUCAUUGACGUUACCCGCAGAAGAAGCACCGGCUAACUCCGUGCCAGCAGCCGCGGUAAUACGGAGGGUGCAAGCGUUAAUCGGAAUUACUGGGCGUAAAGCGCACGCAGGCGGUUUGUUAAGUCAGAUGUGAAAUCCCCGGGCUCAACCUGGGAACUGCAUCUGAUACUGGCAAGCUUGAGUCUGGUAGAGGGGGGUAGAAUUCCAGGUGUAGCGGUGAAAUGCGUAGAGAUCUGGAGGAAUACCGGUGGCGAAGGCGGCCCCCUGGACGAAGACUGACGCUCAGGUGCGAAAGCGUGGGGAGCAAACAGG
rnacentral:rRNA from 2 species